CAAAGCAUUUAUUAGACUAAACCAUCUACUACGUUUAACGACAUACUAAGGGGAAUCUGGAUAACUUUGCUGAUCGUAUGGCCUUGUGCCGGCGACGUUUCAAUUGAGUUUCUGCCCUAUCAACUUGUUGGUAAGGUAUUGGCUUACCAAGGUUGCAACGGGUAACGGGGAAUCAGGGUUCGAUUCCGGAGAGGGAGCCUGAGAAACGGCUACCACAUCCAAGGAAGGCAACAGGCGCGAAAAUUACCCAAUCUAGACAGUAGGAGGUGGUAAAGAGAAUUACUAAAUGGUGGUCUUAUAGAUCACUCGCUUGGAAUGAACGUAACUUAAGAAAUUCGAUGAGAAACAACUGGAGGGCAAGUCCUGGUGCCAGCAGCCGCGGUAAUUCCAGCUCCAGUAGUUUGCUUUAAAGUUGUUGCGUUUAAAACGCUCGUAGUUGGAUCACGAAGUGAUGUUCAGUAACCUUUUGUGUGGGGUAGGCCGAAUGUGUCCGUCUCGAAACGGCCAGGAGGCAGCCUCAACAAUCGGCAGUUUAGCUGAACGUUACUAGUUGCACGUGAGAUAGUUUGUUGGCCUUAAUUGUGCCGGUAUUCUUGUCUUGCGGAGUGUGCCUUGAAUAAAACAGAGUGCUUAAAGCAGGUCUUAUCGCCUGAAUGUUAUAGCAUGGAACGAACAAUCGUGUAUAUGUGUGUGUUUACAGGCGGUAGCGAGCCUUUGGUUUGCUGUUGUUUGAGAUGCGCACGGCACCCACCAAAAUAUGGCUGUUGGUUCCAUAUACGGUGAUGAUUAACAGGAGCGGUUGGGGGCAUCAGUAUUUGGCCGCGAGAGGUGAAUUCUUAGACCGGCCAGGACUAACAAUGCAAGGCACUUGUCUAGACCGUUUCAUUAAUCAAGAACGAAAGUGGGAGGUUCGAAGACCAUCAGAUACCGUCCUAGUUCCCACCGUCAACUAUGCCGACACGGGAUCAGUUUAGAGAUGUUACAAGCUCUAACAUUGGUCCCCCUGGGACACGCUGAAGUUCAUUGUUUUCGGGGAAAGUAUGGUCGCAAGGGUGAAGCAUAAAGGAACAGACGGAAGCGCCACACCAUGGGUGGAGCAUGCGGCUUAAUUUGACUCAACACGGGGAAACUUACCUGGUCCGGACAUCGAUAGGAUUAACAGAUCAAUAGCUCUUUUAUGAUACGAUGAGUGGUGGUGCAUGGCCGUUGAUAGUUCGUGGAGUGAUCUGUCGGCCUAAUUGCGGUAGCGAACGAGACCACAUUCUCCAUUUGAGAGAUCGUAGUAGACGCUCAGUUUCGGAGGACAUGCGCAUUCGACGAUUGGGCGCCGUAGGAAGGGUGAUAAACUGUGUUGAUGAGUAUGUGAGGCUUAGCGAAGGGCGGUGUGUACAAAGGGCGCAUUCCCAAUUUUAACACUCUGAUCUGUUAUCCCAGGUGGCGGUCCCUUUUUGAGACCCCGCGAUAUAAACAAAAGCUCGAGGAAGAGUGGCCAUUUCAGGUCAGUGAUGCCCUUCCAUGUCCAACACUGCGCGCGCGCAACAAUGAUAACGACACCAAGUGUCUGCGUCGAAAGACAUCGGUAAUCUAUAAUCGUCAUCGUGAUGGGGAUUGACCGUUGUAACUGUCGGUCUCGAAAUAGGACUCCCUAGUAUGCAUAUAGUACUAGAAUUGCAGAU
rnacentral:rRNA from 1 species